rnacentral:rRNA from 1 species
CAAUAGCGUAUAUUAAAGUUGUUGCAGUUAAAAAGCUCGUAGUUGGAUUUCUGGUUGAAGCGACCGGUCGGGCGUUGAUUCGUCUGCACUGGAGUCGGUUUUGGCCAUCCUCUAGGAAAGUGCGUCUGGUAUUAAGUUAUCGGGCGUAUGAUCCUGGUCUUUUACUGUGAAAAAAUUAGAGUGUUUAAAGCAGGCCUUCGCCUUGAAUACAUUAGCAUGGAAUAAUAAGAUAGGACUUUGGUCUAUUUUGUUGGUUUGCAGACCGAAGUAAUGAUUAAUAGGGAUAGUUGGGGGUAUUUAUAUUCCGAUGUCAGAGGUGAAAUUCUUAGAUUUUCGGAAGAUAAACUUAUGCGAAAGCAUUUGCCAAGGAUGUUUUCAUUAA